rnacentral:rRNA from 1 species
UGAGGAAUAUUGCACAAUGGGCGCAAGCCUGAUGCAGCAACGCCGCGUGCGGGACGAAGGCCUUCGGGUCGUAAACCGCUUUUCUGGGGGAAGAGCAAGGACGGUACCUCAGGAAUAAGUCUCGGCUAACUACGUGCCAGCAGCCGCGGUAAAACGUAGGAGGCGAGCGUUAUCCGGAUUUACUGGGCGUAAAGCGCACGCAGGCGGCUCUGUUAGUCGGACGUGAAAGCUCUCGGCUUAACCGGGAGAGGCCGUUCGAUACUGCGGGGCUUGAGGUAGGGAGAGGAAUGCGGAAUUCCCGGUGUAGUGGUGGAAUGCGUAGAUAUCGGGAGGAACACCUGCGGCGAAAGCGGCAUUCUGGCCCUCACCUGACGCUGAGGUGCGAAAGCGUGGGUAGCAAACA